UCGGGAAUUUUGGGCAAUGGGCGAAAGCCUGACCCAGCAACGCCGCGUGAGGGAUGAAGUAUUUCGGUAUGUAAACCUCGAAAGAAUGGGAAGAAUAAAUGACGGUACCAUUUAUAAGCUCCGGCUAACUACGUGCCAGCAGCCGCGGUAAUACGUAGGGAGCAAGCGUUGUUCGGAUUUACUGGGCGUAAAGGGCGCGUAGGCGGCGCGGUAAGUCACUUGUGAAAUCUCUGAGCUUAACUCAGAACGGCCAAGUGAUACUGCUGUGCUAGAGUGCGGAAGAGGCAACCGGAAUUCUUGGUGUAGCGGUGAAAUGCGUAGAUAUCAAGAGGAACACCUGAGGCGAAGGCGGGUUGCUGGGCCGACACUGACGCUGAUGCGCGAAAGCCAGGGGAGCAGACG
rnacentral:rRNA from 1 species